UAUGUAGGCCUAUGUAUUUAGAUGUGCAUUAUGUGUGCUCACCCGAAUGGUCAAAGAUUGCUUAACUUUAUCUUUUCCGUUUUUCAGACUUAUCAGAAAUGCAAGCAGGUGCGUAAGAAGUGGACGUCAACAGAAAAGAUCGGCCAAGUUUCAGUUAUGGACACUGUGUGGGCUUCCGCGGUGGCCUUUAGCGGGUGUCACGAGACGAAAGUGGACAGACUGCUGCAGUUCGCAAACAUGGGAAGGCUCAGUCAUACCACUUUCUACAGAAUAACCAACAAAGUUGUUCAACCAGUGGUACGGGACACCUAUGAGGCAACGCUGAGAGCUAACAGGGAGGCGGCCACGGAUGCUUCACCUGAUGGUCUCAUCAUUGCCGGUGAUUGUUAAAACGACAGCCCUGGGUUUUCAGCAUCGUACGGCACCUAUACGAUUAUGGACAACACUACCGGCAACAUCAUCGCGCAGAACACAGUCUGUCAUCAAGAGGCGGGGUUUUCAAGCCCCAAACUGGAGACCGAAGGUUUGUCGCGAUGCCUCGACGACAUCGAGUUUCUUCCCAUUAAGGAGUUCGUUGCUGAUCAGCAUCUUGGUGUCAAGAAGGUUGUGAGUAAGUAAAGUAUGUUUGUUGGCGUAUUUCAGUCAUCAGGGUGUAUAUGAAUGACAUUUCGGCAAAUUCAGGCAUUAUGGACUACUGCUAGAGCAAGAUUACUUUACUAAUCAGGUUGGUUCACUAGGGAAAUAAAGGCGCCGUGGUGACGUCACGGAUUUGGUAGCAAUCUGGUAGCAAUUUUUGCAGACAUCAAUGGCGCACGUGUUGUUUGAUCGUCGCCAAUACUAUUUUACUGCACUAUUUUGUUAUUUCACUGCAAUGUAUUGUACAUUACAUUUGAAAAUUAAAAUAAAGAGAUAUUCGUAACCCAGCAAGUCAGUUAUUCUUUGAGGCAGCACUCUGUCAGCAUUGAGCCUUCAGAAUGUGUUAUUUGAUAGACUUUCCAACAUUUUCUACUCUUGUGGAAAACUUUCUUAGUCAUCAAAAAUGUAUGCACAUAUGAAUAAUUAGAACUUCAUUUUCAAAGUUUUAUAGAAAUAAGAUUUCACAUUACAUUAUCAUAAGGCUACCUGUCCAUUUCGUCCAACCAAUUAAAUAUUCAUCCAGCAGAAGGCAGGUACCUCUGAGAAGGCACUGAUAUCUCUUAUCUACUGUACACCAAUAUUUCAGGAAAAUGACAGAGACUGAGAAGCUAUUAAAACUUCAGCGUAUGAAAGGGAUGUUAUGGCUUAUGCACAUUGAAAAACAUCAGAUAAUGCUUUUGAACCAUCUCAUUCACCAGCACACAUCAAUCCGGCUCCUGGCUUCUGUCAAGGAAACAUUCCAAAAUAAUGCAUUAUUUUAUUUCAUUGACCACCUUGCAAAAGACAAACAGCAAACAAAUCACCACCAAAAACAAAAAUAGUCAACAGGUAGGUACCAGCUGAUCUAGCCGUGCUGUGUCAUGUGCCUUUGAAAAACUUGAGCAGUCAAGGUUGAAUAAACACCCCAA